GUUUUGUGCGUUCAAUGUGGUACGCUACGCUGGCUUGAUGCUGGGAAAGUCCGGUGUGAUUCCGGCACUGUGCCGCAACUGUAAUGCAAUUUUAGAUUGGCGAUUUUAGAUUUUAGAUUGAAGCCAUGCCAUACAAUCCGAAAUCUCAAAUCUCCAAUCGCACGAGUCAGAAUGCCAGUCUCAAGUACGCUCCGAAU
rnacentral:ncRNA from 1 species